ACUCCUUGAAGCAGCUCCGAGCCCUGCUUCCUUUCGUAGACGCAGGAGGUGUGGAGACUUGGACAACACUUUGGCCAACCUGCGCAGUAACACCUCCUCCCUCUCUUCUCCAUUUCGGUUCAGUUCAGGGUGGCGGCGGUUAACAUCUUGGCCCCAAAUUCUAGGUUAAAGGCGGAUCCCGCCCGGCGAGCACCGGCCCCAGGAAACGCGUCUGGCGCCCGCGAGAAGACAAAGGCGCUCGCAGUGGAAUCAGGGCGGAAGUGGGAAGUGACCCGAAACUCAAGGCCCCAAGAAGCAGUCUGAGCACAGUCUGGACGCUGCUGAACCAAGCGGGAAACAGUUCUGGCAACUCUUCAAGAACAAAAGGUAAUUUUCUUUUUCAUUUCUUUUUGAAUUUUGAAAAGUUCUCUACUGUUUAAAGAUUGAAAUCUCAGAAUAUAACAUUAUUUCAAAUAUCAAAUUUUAAUUUGAAUGUCAUUAACUAUAUACAUUUAGCCUCAUUAAAAAAAAUGCAUAGGCCAUGCAUGAAAAUUAUCUGGGCUGGAUGGCAAAUUUGAUUAAUUUCCUUGGUACUUUAUUCUUCUAAUUAUCUUUAUUAGAAGUGUAGUCUUUUUUAAGUUUGAAAAAAGAGGGAAAGUACCAAGAAAAUAUGAAAUGUGCAAGUAUACUUUACUCUUUUUACAUUUUUUAAAUGUUUUGAUUGAGAUUUAAGGUAAAGAAAUAAAUUAUCAGAGAUAAAAUAAAUGUUCUCUAAUUUCUAUUUAAAGUAUAUUUUUAAUCAAAAAAGCCAUCAAGGUGUUAAUUUUCUAAGUUAUUGUAAAUAUGGUUGCAUUUUCCAUGUUUAUGCCUCUUCCUUGGGCAGGACCUAAUGUGAGAGUUUUAGAUUUCAAAAAGUCCACAGAAGCUGAACAAUCAGUAAACUUUUAAGGAUAUUUAUAGUUUAAAUGAAAAUAAAGUUAUUGUAUGUUUGUAAUAAGGAUUUCAUGUUGUAAAAGGGGUCCAAAGUAAUAAUUCUCUAAUACCAAAAUAAAUAUUAACCUAGGAAUGGUGGACACGCUGGUUGAGAUUUGUAAGAAAACUUCUUUCUUCCAUUGUUGUUUCUUUAUCUAGGUCAUGGUGAAUCUAAAUAUUUCUUCUAAGGCUGGAGACUCACAUAUUGUUUGAUUUCUUGGUGUACUGAACCAAAGUCAUGGACCCAGGAUAAGGAAGAGAGUGAAUUUAGAGACGAAGUAAGGAAGGACAAACAAUACAUGUUAAUAGUUUCAUAAGAAUACGUCUCAUACCUACACUGGCCCAAUAUAUUAUGAUAGAACCCAAGCAAGACCAUUUGGAAUAAAAAGUUUCUCAAAAACCACUGUCAAGGGACUUCCCUGGUGGUCCAGUGGUUAAGAAACCACCUUCCAAUGCAGGGGACAUGGAUUCAAUCCCUGUUCUGGGGACUACGAUUUCACAUGCUGAGGGGCAACUAAACCUGUGUGGCUGCAACUACUGAGUCCAUGGGCCGCAACUAGAGAGCCCAUGUGGCAGCUGUGAGCCCAUGUGGCAGCUGUGGAGCUCACGUGCUCUGGAUCGCAACUAGAGAGCCCACGUGCCACAGCUGUGGAGCUCACGUGCUCUGGACUGCACACCAAAGCUAGGGAGAAGACCACAUGCCACAACCAAGACCUGAUGCAGUUGUAAAUAAACAAAUAAAGAAACCAAGAUCCAGAAAUUCUAUCAAAAUGCACUUCUGAAGGCUGCUGGAGUGCAAAGCUUCCAGAACACACUGAUGAAAAAGGCUGUAAGUUGUGAA
ensembl:lncRNA